AAGAGGUACCGUCAAUUCAGAGGGGUAUUGUUCCCUCUGCGUUUCGUCCCUCUCCACAGUGCUUUACGAUCCGAAGACCUUCAUCACACACGCGGCGUGGCUGGAUCAGGCUUUCGCCCAUUGUCCAAUAUUC
rnacentral:rRNA from 1 species